UGAACGCUGGCGGCGUGCCUACUACAUGCACGUCGAGCGAACAGACGCGGAGCUUGCUCCUCUGACGUUAGCGGCGGACGGGUGAGUAACACGUGGAUAACCUACCUAUAAGACUGGGAUAACUUCGGGAACCGGAGCUAAUACCGGAUAAUAUAUUGAACCGCAUGGUUCAAUAGUGAAAGACGGUUUUGCUGUCACUUAUAGAUGGAUCCGCGCCGCAUUAGCUAGUUGGUAAGGUAACGGCUUACCAAGGCAACGAUGCGUAGCCGACCUGAGAGGGUGAUCGGCCACACUGGAACUGAGACACGGUCCAGACUCCUACGGGAGGCAGCAGUAGGGAAUCUUCCGCAAUGGGCGAAAGCCUGACGGAGCAACGCCGCGUGAGUGAUGAAGGUCUUCGGAUCGUAAAACUCUGUUAUUAGGGAAGAACAAAUGUGUAAGUAACUAUGCACGUCUUGACGGUACCUAAUCAGAAAGCCACGGCUAACUACGUG
rnacentral:rRNA from 1 species